AGAAACUAUUUCCUGGGCUAAGACUCCAAGUCCAGGGCUCUUGUCCCCAGAGGACCUGUCUCCUAGAGCCAGAAAGGAAUUCUACAGUGAACACAGGGUUAAAGUAAACUCUUGCAGCUGAAAGUCUGGAAUUCUGGCUAACAAUACCUAAAUAUCUUUAGUCAGCACCAAAGUGGAAAUUGUGCACUAAUUGGAGUUCAGUGAUGCAGAUAAUAUGGAAUGGAGUACACGGGCUGACAGAAAAUUCUCUCCAGCAGCUGAGCUACUUUCACUACAUUUCAGCCCUAACAACAGAACCCAAAACAAAAAAAGAGAACCAGGAGAUGAUGAGUCAGGAGACAUGGAAUUAAAAAGGACUGGAUCACUCUGUCUCUAAUCAAGGUAAAUUAUCUUUAUGAGUCAGCCCACAUACUUUACAUGAGUGCAAAAUAAACAUUAGCUAUUAAGUCACUGAGAUUUGGGAUUGUUUCUUAUGGUGGCAUAUGCCUAGCCUAGAAUGACUAACACAAUCUUCUCUUCUAGUUGCAUAGCAACCCAGUCUUGCCCAUUCUACCUAGUGGCAUCACUGCCUGAAAGGAAUAUUGGUCAGAGAAUUUUCAGUCCAUUUUUCUACUGACUCAUGUAAGAUUUGGCAUUAAGUAGUUGUAGCAGCCAGAGAGGGUCGGUCCCACCAAGAGUGUGGUUGCAGGUAUACAGUCAUUCUACAUUUCGCUUUGUGGGGUCAGAGGUAAAGGUCAUGGUUUGCUGAAAACAGAAAACUUCAUGAUAAACUUGGGUGAAAGUAAAGACAUUUUGCGAAUAUUCAGAAAUUCAUUGAAAUCACAAAGGAAAUAGCAGAAGCCCAAUGUUUAUGCAGUUUAUGCGCUAAAGGGAAGCCAGCUGGACAAACUGGGGAGAAGAUGCCCAGGGAACCUAUGUGGAACCACAUCUGGUACAGAAUGUCUGCAAGUAAUCAAACACACCUGAAGACCCUUCGAGAGAUAGGAAAAUAUCAAGAUCCAGAGCACAGCUUCCGGAGCCAUUCUGCCUGGAAUCAGGUCAUCAUUCCACACCUGACCCAGGGCUUCUUGAUUCACCUAGCUUCACAAGAGCCAAGAGCUUCAUCACGCUUUCUGAACCUUUUCCUGUCCCCUUCCCUCAUCAUGCUGCUGGAGGACCAGAGGUCCUCCUUGGGCAGGCCGUUGCUCCCAGCCAGCGUCUUCAGAUGCCUCUCAGUCUCCGGGAGUUUCUGCUGAGUUGAAGGUAGUCUUGGGUCAUUUGCCUGGAAGCAAACUGUGGUGACAGCUCUAACACGCACUCCCCUCACACGGGAAGAACAAGGGUUAGUGUCUAAAAUGUAGGAUUUCAUUCACUAUUGUGUUUUUGACAUAAAGAAUAAGAGGUUAAAUGAUGAUAUUUAAAAAAUAACAUUUCCCUAAAUACCAAAAAGUCAAAGUCAAUGGUACAUAAAGGUUACUCAGCCCCCAAAGAGAGGAGGCGUUCUACACGCAGCAUUACACAUACUACACGAGUGGGACAAGAAGAGCAAUUUUUUAAUGUUAGCAUGAUGUUAUGGGGAUACACAGGUGAUAAGAGUCAGUGCAGUGGUUCUCAAACUUGUCCAUGUGUCAGAAUCACCUAGAAGGCUUGUCAACACAAAGGUGGCUGGGCCCAACACCGGAGUUUUGGAUUCAGUAGGUCUAGUGUGGUGCUUCUAGCAAAUUCCCAGGUGAUACUGCUGCUGCUGGUCCAGGGACUUCACUUUGAGAACCACUGUCCUGGUGCAAUUAGGAUAACGAUACAUAUAUAAAAUACAUAUAUAUUUAC
rnacentral:lncRNA from 1 species